CAUGUCCAGCAAUAACGAACACUGUGUGAUAAUUUUUUAUUUGAUUUCUUAGAUGGAAAACAGGGGAAUAUCCUGGCAAAGUUUCACCUCCUAAUGAGUAAGUUUCAGAAAGUUUAAGCUUCCAAAUACACACCAACCAAGCCACAGAACUUUUAGACGGACAAAUUCAAGGGCAGGAAGUUGGUUGUUGAUGGCUCUUACUCAUAAUAGCCAAAGAUGGAACCAUAAUAUUCAAAGGAAGCAUACUUCUUACCUCAAGAUACCAGGGACCAGCAGCAGAGGAUGGGCUAUCAGCAUCGUAUUCCAUUCGUGGGGUUUUCAAAUAGACUUUGAGAAAUGCAAUGUAGAAAUAGAUGGACCGUGGUCUAAGUCUCCCCACAGUUAGGGAGGAUUUCCUAACUAUGCAGGGUAUUUACUCUAGACUUGUACUUUUUUAAAAAAAUCACAGGGCUCUGAGGUUCUAGCUAAAUAUAUACACAAAAGGAGACC